GAUGAACGCUGGCGGCGUGCCUAAUACAUGCAAGUCGAGCGAAGCGGGGACGGGUGAGUAACACGUGUAUGACCUCCUCUAAGGCUGGGGUCACUUCGUGGAACCGGAGCUAAACCGGCUACUUAUCGAUGGAUCCGCUCUGCAUGAGCUAGGUGGUAAGGUAACGGCUUACCCAGGCAACGAUGCAUAUCCGACCGGAGAGGUUGAUCGGCCACACUGGAACUGAGACACGGUCCAGACUCCUACGGGAGGCAGCAGUGGGGAAUAUUCCGCAAUGGGCGAAAGCCUGACGGAGCCACGCCGCGUGAGUGAUGAAGGUCUUCGGAUCGUAAAACUCUUUCAUCAGGGAAGCGGUACUUAAUCAAAAAGCAACGGCUAACUACGUGCCAGCAGCCGCGGUAAUAC
rnacentral:rRNA from 1 species